AAUGAAGCAAAUACAAAUAGAGUAGUCUGAAAAUAGUAAGUCUAUUAAUUGGUUCUUCCCAACUUAUUAACUCAUAAGCUUACAGGGUUACAUCUACUUAUUUUCUUCACCAUUAGUUGUUGCCAACUUCAAUUUAUCCAUAUUCAUCGACCAGUUCUGAGAAAUAUGUCCUCUACAUCAAUAUCAUAUAAACUAAAAGGAAUAAUGGGUUUCAUCUUUCAGAAUACGGUGAAAGCCUCCUGACUUUUGUAUGUUUUCUUAUCCUAUCAAAAUUUAAAUAAUAGAUUAAUACCAUGUUAUGUAUACUACGCUAAUUCUAAGUAAGAAUCGUAGGCGUGGAAACUAUGGUCCAAAGGAGAAGGAAUGGAGUUACUGGAUAAGCAUCUUGUUGAGUCGAGUGUGCCCAAUGAGGUUGUUGGUGUUUAAGGGCAGCAGUAAGCUGCUUUGAUCUUGCUUGGACAGCAAGCCUCAAGGCUUACAGAAGAAACAAACGCAGAAAGAAAACAGAAAAGAAGCUUGCGAGUGGAAAACAGAAAAGAAAAGAGAGAAUUUGAAUGAAAAACAACCUGAAAUUUUUCAUUAACUUGAGAAUAAGGCCUUAAGCCAUUACAUAUACCAGCUAACUUGUAAAACAAACAAGUUAUCACCUAAUCAACUACCUAACACCACUAAUAUGCAUUGAAACUUACAAGAUUAGCUUGCAUAAUAGCUUUACUGAUUUUUAGUCAAUCAACAUCAAAACAUCUACCUACUAAGUUCAAAAUGAACUAGAUUACAAAAGGAUUAAGGAACAACUAAAUGUGGCAACUAGAUCAGCAACUUUGAGCUUCAGCUGCUGCACACCAUGGCUCGACUGCAUGCUGACUUUCCUCUUGCAUGGCCACCUUUGUUGAUCAGCACCUGGCAUGGGAACUACCCUCAACAGAGGUGCUUAAAUGCAUCCAAAUUGGGUUAUUGUGCGUGCAAUCAGAUCCGGCAGACAGACCAACUAUGUCAACAGUGGUUGCAAUGUUAGGAAGCGACACCAUAACAGUUCCUCUACCAGCGAAACCUGCAUUUUAUGUUGGACGUUUUAUUGCAGAAUCAGUUCAACCCAAUUCAAGUGAUAAAAUAUGUUCUGUUAAUGAAGUUACGAUUUCAAACAUGUCACCUCGGUGAUUGAUUAGUCAUUCCAUCUUCAAUUUUUUCACUAUUACAAGAUAUGAUAGAUUCUAAAAAUUUUGUUAAGCCGCUCUUUUAGCUAAAUGUUCAGCAACAUUCCAGCAAAACACAGGGAGAUGUUCUUCCGAGUUUUCUGUAUUGAUCUUUGAUAUAUAUGUAAAAAAUGACAAAGGGGUAUGAAAAAUUGGUAUGAAGCUGACUUUUCAAAUCCAAAGUGGGAACGGUGGGAAAAUCAUUCCAUUACCGAAGACAGAGCAGCAAAAACGAGUCUAUUUGUUCAAAACUGACUUUUCAACGAGUAUGGAUGAGAAGGUACAAUUUUCGUUUCAUUUUUCUUGGAUACAAUUAAUUUCACCACUUUGCUACGCUCAAGGUAGACUUUGAUUUCGACCAAGUCAAAAAAGAAAACCCGAAAGAAAAGUCCUUGGACUUUAUUAUCUGUAAACUUCAACCUCCUAAAGGAAGAAACAUGGAAGUAUCUCAUUACAAAAUGGUAAUACACAAUUAGUAGCUCUGGUGAUUCCAGAGCACAACCUCCAAAAUGAGGUUUCAAUUUCGGGCAUACUUCCUCGAUAAGGUUUGAAUAUUCUGAAAACCAUCAUCCUAUAUGUGGUUCAAAUAAAAUCAAAUUAUCAAUGCUUUCCAUAUGCAAAGUAGGGGCUGAAGUCCCAUUACAAUCUACCGUAUUAAGUAUUAACUAGCUCAAUGAUUCUGAAAAACUGGCCUAUAACAGGCACGUAGUAUAGUAUGAACAAUGAAACCAAAGGAACUUCAAAAAUAGUGAGAACAGUAGAAAAAGCAUUCCAUUGCCGCUGAUAGUCAGUGUUGGAUUUUUUUAUUAAAAGUUUAGGGUUUAAUUAAAAUUUUUAAAAAAAUUUGGAGGAUUUAAUGAGAAUAUUUAAGAAUAUUUUAACAUUAUAACUUUUGAAAAUAAUAAAUUUUAUUAUUUCAUUUAUUAAUUUAGAUCAUAUACAUAUUUUUUUCGUUGGAUUUGAAGUAUAAUUUAGAUUUGCAGUUAUUGGUUGGAUUUGAUGUUAUAGAAAAUUAUGUUGACAAUUCGGGUUCUAUAUGAAUAAAAAUUGGAUGUUAAAAAUAUGCUACAGUUAGUGGUGUUUUUUCCACAAACGCCGUUAAAAACAUGACUUUUAGUGGCGCUUUUACUAAAAACACCGUUAAAGAACAUGACCUUUAGCAGCGUUAUUAGGAAGAGCGCCGCUAAAAAAAAUUUAAAACCCUCGAAGGUUAUGUUCUUUAGCGGUGUUUGUAGAAAAAGCAUUGUUAAAGGUUAUGUUGGCGUGAGAAAAGCGCCGCUAAAGGUCAUGUUCUAUAGCGGUGUUUUUGUGAGAAACGCCGCUAAAGAUCAUGUUCUAUAGCGUCACUUUUUCACAUAGACACUGUAAAAUUUAACGAUGUCAUCUAUAACGACGUUUUUGUGGCGCUUAUAAAAAUCCAACGUAUAGUUCGCGGCGCUUAUAAGCCCCGCUAUAGGCCAAAAAAACACCACUCUAUUUUCCUGACUGCAGCAACAUUACAUUAAAUUAGUAAGUGAUGAAGUUGGUCAGUAUGCAGCAAACACUCGACAGCAAGCAGGCCAUGAAGACCAAACUAUGCAGGAGCUGCUGCAACAAGUUGUUUUUUGUUCCUUUUGUAAACUUUAGUUCAUGAAAUGAGUCUUAGUUCAUUUCUAACUAAGUUAAGUAUUUGAUUGAUGUAAUUGGCUAAUGUAUGAGCUGUAAACACAGCUUUGUAUAGGUUUACAAGUUAAAAUUUCAAGUUUCCAUGUAAUUAGUGGAGGGAGGUAAUGUUUAGGUGAUUACUUGCUGUUUUUGACAAGCUUAGUGCUUGAUUUAUGUAUUGGCAUCAUGCCAUUGUUUAUUCAAUGAAUGAAUCAGAUUUUGUUCAUCAAAUACUCUCCAUUUUUCCUUAACUUUUCUUCUUUCUUUUGCUCGAAUUUGUUUGUUUUCUCAGCAAGUAUCGAGGCUUGUUGCACAAGACACAAGCUGAGCUUGUCUGCUUCUGUUCCAGCACCAACAGUAAGGAAUCCAAAAGAAGAUUGUCCACUGAACAAACCUUUCCUUCUCAUAUUAGCUAUGACUGAGGAAUUAAAGACCAAGUUUCGUUUGACUUUUAAAAGCUUCAAGACUUUUGCUUUAAUGAGCGGUCUUUGACUCUUUCUCCAACUCAAUCCCCCAUCUCUUCUUUGCCAUGAAAAAUCUGGAAUAAUAAGUUCCCACUUCUUUCUUUUGGGUUUCGUUUCCUUCAAAUUAUACAACCUCAAAAUGUGGGUUAAAUUUACAGCUCUUUCUUCAAUUCUCUCCCAUCUGCUUCUCAGCAUCAGUCUUGUUGAGGCUUUCAUAAGAUGCUACGACACUGGUAAUUUCACCAUAAAUAGUACCUAUGGUAAAAAUCGGGACCUUAUUCUUGCUUCUCUCCCACCGAAUGUCUCUGCAAAAGGUGGUUUCUUCACUGCCAAUGUUGGCCAAAACGCCUACAAAGUUUACGCUCUUGGUAUGUGCAGAGGAGACUCUAGUCGUGACGAUUGUUAUAAAUGUGUCAAUUCUACAAUCCACGACCUCAAAGCUAGCUGUCCCAACCAGAAGGAAGCCCUUUCAUGGGAAGGGCAACCAUGUCAUGUACACUAUGCAGAUCGCUCGUUUUAUGGAACCCUGGAGGAGUUAGGAAACCCUGAGGCAGGCUAUAAUACGGGCGACAUCAAAUCUAACUUAACAGAAUUUGAUACGAUUUGGGAGAGUUUGAUGGACACAGUGGUGAGAAACGCUUCCAACGGCUCUUCUACUCGUAAGUAUGCAACCGGGGAAGCAGACUUUACAGUAUUCCAAAAGAUAUAUGCGCUAAUGCAGUGCACUCCAGAUUUAUCACACGAGGAUUGUGAUUCCUGCCUAAGGCAAUCCGUGAGCAACUAUGAAAGCUGUUGCCAUGGGAAGCAAGGAGGUUAUGUUACGAGGCCUAGCUGUUAUUUCCGCUGGGAUUUGUAUCCUUUCUAUUCUAUAACAACCCCAUCUCCUUCCCCAGAUAUAAAAGGUAUGUAGGCAUCUUCUACAUGACUCAUGAGUAAAUUGAACUAAAUUAAAAUUAGAAUAAAUAAGCAUUUUUUCAAAGAAAAUGAAUUCUAGUAGGUAUCAUUCUAAAAGGGCUCGACAUCUAUAAGCAAAUAUAUUAUAUAUUAAAAUAAAAUAAUUAUAUCAGUAAAAAUGCUAUAAAGGUCAUCAACACUAACGCACAUAGGUUGGAUAAGGUUAUAGCCUAAAGGAUUUUGAACCUUUAUUUCUGCCUUUUCAUAGUAGGUAAUUAAAGUUUGAAUUUUGUUGGCUAGCUAUGUAUUGUUUGAAUGUUUAAAGGGUUGCCCUUUGUUUAAACUAUUACAAUUUGAUUUUCCCACAUCAACUCCGCCAUAAUCUUCGCCUCAUUAAGUACAAUAACGAAACAUAUAUAGCAAACUCCAUACCAUAAUAAAUUUGUUCCUUUAACUAUUUCCCACAACUUCCAUGGUCAAAUGUAAUGAAUAGUGCAUCAAGAAACAACUAUCUUCCUCUAAUUAAUAAAUUCACAAACUCCCAUUUAUAAAAAAUUCAUUGAGUAAGGCUCAAUUGCAAAACUUCAAUUACAUGCUUUCUAAAGUCUCUAAUAUCCCAUCACAUAAUUUCACAUAAAGUGUAAAAAUUGGCCAUCACCAUUUUCCUGGAAUAGGACUUUUAAGCUCUAAUAUCUCAUACAGUAGUCUUUUUGUUCAUCGAUCUCACACAAUGUAUACCAAGACUAUCAUAAUUUUGAAAAUUUGAAAAGAGCUUAACGUCUAUAAGCAACCAAAACUUACUGUUAUUGUUAUCUAAUUUGUAAUUAUUUCUCGAGUUAUCUGAUAUCCUAGACUUGCAAAAUUACAAAAUUUGUCCAAAUAUUCAUCCAAUUUGAGAGCCUUCUUUUCUCAAUCCAGCACUCUUCUUCGUCUCUGAUUGCAUUUGAUUCAAACAAAAAAUUUGAGGCUUUCCUAUGUUUUUCAUUUGUUGGAACAAAGAAAGUCAGUUCCACUGCUGACUAAGUGGUUAGCCAAUUUAUAAAAGAAAAACCCCUUAACGAAAGCUUUCAUAUGGAAAAUUUUGCAGGCAUCAAUCUAACCUACCAAAGCUUUAGGUGCUAUAAUGACUCGGGUAGUUUCACAACCAGCAGUACAUAUGGAAAAAACCUUGACCAUAUUCUCGAUUCUCUCCCACACAACGUCUCUGAAAAUGGUGGUUUCUAUGAAGCCAUUGGUGGCCAAGACUCCAACAAAGCUUACGCUCUUGGGAUGUGCAGAGGAGGCUUAAGUAAAGGUGACUGUUAUCGUUGUGUCAGUUCCUCGGUUAAUGAUCUCAGAGUUAAGUGUUCUCACUGGAAAGAAGCCGUUUCAUUGGCAGUUUUACGACCGUGUAUUGUACACUAUGCAAAUCGCACAUUUUUUGGAAACUUGGAGGUAGAACCCACGGAUGCAGCUCAUAACAAUGAAAGCAUCAAAUCGGACGUACUAACAAAAUUUGAAAUGGCUUGGGAUGGUUUGGUGGUCAGUUUGAGGAGAAAUGCUUCCAACGGCUCUUCUAAGUUUAAGUAUGCAACUGAGGAAGCAAAAUUUACAGAAUCUCAAACUAUAUAUGCACUAAUGCAAUGCACCCCAGAUUUAUCACAGGAAAAUUGUUGGACCUGCCUAAAGCGAGCCACAGAAACCCAUAAUGAUUGUUGCCGUGCGAAGCAAGGUGGUUUUGUUCAGAAGCCAAACUGUUAUUUCCUCUGGGAUUUGCAUCCCUUCUAUGCACUAGGACCUGACAAUACAUUUACAAAAGGUAAGUAUGGCUAGAUGACUCGUAAGUAAAUUGAUGUAAUAAAAAUUACCAAAUUGGAACAUGGAAACCAUCUAUUCAUUCAAUCUCUAAUAUGGUUUGAGAGCCUUCUUUUCUGAAUCCAGCAUUCCUCAUAGCCAACGACUUAACCACAGCUCCUUUUCUCAAUCCUUCUCAUCUUCUUCAUCUCUGAUUAUAUUUGAUUCAAACAAAAAAAUUGCAAGAUCAUUUGUUGUAACAAAAGAAUAGUCAAUUCGACUGUUGAGUAAGUGGUUAGCCAAUCAAUAAAAGGAUCUGCUCCUUUGAUUGGAUUUAGUUAGCCACCUUCUUUUGUAUUCAUUUCAGCCUAAGUAGAUAUGGUUGCCAGCACACUUAGUAUCUAGUCAAAACAAUCUUCCACUAUAUGAGUUGCAAGCUUUGCUCUCUUGCGUCUUAAGGCUAGUUGAGUUUUUGUGUUUCUUGUUACGUGUCCUUCCACGAGUUGAUGAUAAGAUCUCUUUUUUCUGGGGAAAAAUUAUCAGAUGAAACGAAACAAAACAAACCAAUAUGGAUACCACUUGGUGCAAGCUUAUCAGCUACUCUAGGACUAGCUCUGUUUUCUGCUUGUGGUUUCUUUAUCUGGAGAAGGAGAAACGGUCAAGGUAUGCACUAUUAGAUCAUGCUGGCAUUUACAAAUUUAUGUUAUAAUCUUAUAGCCAAUCACAUUUUGUUUUAUUACAGAGGAUAAAGGCCAAGAAGUUCGAUUACUUGACUUGGUAAUGGGAAGUGUUCCUCGUGGGAACUCAAGCGAAAAUUUUGAUCUACAAAAUAUAGGAAGGUCGCAGGAGUUUCCUUCAAUUCAAUUGAAUAUUUUACAAGCAGCAACCAAUAAUUUUUGUGAUGAAAAUAAGCUAGGACAAGGUGGAUUUGGCCCUGUAUACAAGGUAAUUAUGGUUAGGAACUAAAAUAACGUGGUUAAGAAAAAAUGCAUGUUCAUAUGUUAAUUUGUAGGGCACACUAGCGGAUGGAAAAGAAAUUGCAGUUAAAAGGCUCUCAAGAACUUCUGGUCAAGGGCUGCUUGAGUUCAAGAAUGAGGUCAUGUUAAUUGCCAAAUUACAGCAUAGGAAUCUUGUGAGGCUGUUAGGAUGCUGCUUAGAGGAAAACGAAAAGUUGCUUGUAUAUGAAUUCAUGCCCAACAAAAGCCUUGACAUGUUCCUAUUCGGUUUGAUCCUUCAACCUUGAAAUAACAACAUUAUCUUAUACAUACACAAUAAAUUUGAAUAUUUGACUUGUCAUUUCUUUUUCUCUCCUUCUUGAGCAUUUGUCAGAUUCGAGUUUGCCUGCCCAACUAGUUUGGCAAAAACGAUUCAAUAUUAUUAAAGGAACUGCCCGAGGUAUCAUGUAUCUGCAUGAGGAUUCUCGUCUUAGAAUAAUCCACAGAGACCUUAAAGCAAGUAAUGUUUUACUUGACCAUGAGAUGAAUCCGAAAAUUUCGGACUUUGGUAUGGCAAAAAUUUUUGGCCGAGAUCAGAAUGAAGCAAAUACAAAUAGAGUAGUUGGAACAUAGUAAGUCUAUUAAUUGGUUCUUCCCAACUUAUUUAACUCAUAACCUUACAGGGUUACAUCUACUUAUUUUCUUCACCAUUAGUUGUUGCCAACUUCAACUUAUCCAUAUUCAUCGACCAGUUCUGAGAAAUAUGUCCUCUACAUCAAUAUCAUAUAAACUAGAAGGACCCCAUGCAAGUAAUGAAUCUUAGUAUGUUUCAUGGUUAGUGAUUAGAAACAAAACUUGGUUUUGUUACUGAGAGUAUCUGAUAUGUGAUUGAUAUACAUUGAAAAUCAGUUCAUGUUUGUAAAGUUUCUUAUGAUUAUCUAAUUUUGAUUUAGUUUUUCUUCAUUGUUUCUAAUAAACUACAACAGUGGAUACAUGGCACCUGAGUAUGCUAUGGAAGGACUUUUUUCUGUCAAAUCUGAUGUUUUCAGUUUCGGUGUCCUUUUGCUGGAGAUUAUAAGUGGAAAAAGGAAUAAUGGGUUUCAUCUUUCAGAAUGCGGUGAAAGCCUCCUGACUUUUGUAUGUUUUCUUAUCCUAUCAAAAUUUAAAUAAUAGAUUAAUACCAUGUUAUGUAUACUACGCUAAUUCUAAGUAAGAAUUGUAGGCGUGGAAACUAUGGUCCAAAGGAGAAGGAAUGGAGUUACUGGAUAAGCAUCUUGUUGAGUCGAGUGUGCCCAAUGAGGUGCUUAAAUGCAUCCAAAUUGGGUUAUUGUGCGUGCAAUCAGAUCCGGCAGACAGACCAACUAUGUCAACAGUGGUUGCAAUGUUAGGAAGCGACACCAUAACAGUUCCUCUACCAGCGAAACCUGCAUUUUAUGUUGGACGUUUUAUUGCAGAAUCAGUUCAACCCAAUUCAAGUGAUAAAAUAUGUUCUGUUAAUGAAGUUACGAUUUCAAACAUGUCACCUCGGUGAUUGAUUAGUCAUUCCAUCUUCAAUUUUUUCACUAUUACAAGAUAUGAUAGAUUCUAAAAAUUUUGUUAAGCCGCUCUUUUAGCUAAAUGUUCAGCAACAUUCCAGCAAAACACAGGGAGAUGUUCUUCC
rnacentral:lncRNA from 1 species